GGUGAGAGGAAUGAAAUGCCUGGGACUAGAUGUGCUGCUUUUCUGGAAAGAUGUAGGCUAGACAAUGUCAACUUACCAAGCUUAUUUCUAUCUCAGAGUCCUCAUGUACCUGUUAUUCCAUAUCCACGUUGAUUUUCCCUUUUCCCAUUAUCCUAGGAAACAAGGCAUCUCCUCUCCCUCUCACCUGAAUAUUACUCUUCUGUUAUCCCCACUCUCUUUUAUAGUAUAAUAUCUACAUUUUUUAUUUUAAUUGUGGUUUUAAAAAGCCACAUAAUAUGAAAUUUACUCCCUUAAGAAAAUUUUAGAUGUAUGAUACAAUAUAGCUAUAUGUACACGGUAGUCCACAGAUCUCUAGAACUUUUUUAGUACAUUUGAUCUUUGCCUCUCUGUUUCUUCUCCCCAGAGGUAAAAACAGGUGUUCAUCUACUGUAUCUUAGCUCUGGAGGGACUCAUAACCCAGUAUUUGGAAUCCUAGACCAGAAUUCUGAUAUUCCAGUGCAUGCCAGAGAUACUCUUGCUGGUCUUUGUGCUGGUCUUUGGGCUGGUCUUUGGAUGGUCUUUGGGCUGGUCUUUGGAUGGUCUUUGUGCUGGUCUUUGUGCUGAUCUUUGGGCUGGUCUUUGGGUGGUCUUUGGACUGGUCUUCGGGUGGUCUUUGUGCUGGUCUUUGGGCUGGUCUUUGGGUGGUCUUUGUGCUGGUCUUUGGGUGGUCUUUGUGCUGGUCUUUGGGCUGGUCUUUGGGUGGUCUUUGUGCUGGUCUUUGGGUGGUCUUUGGACUGGUCUUUGGGUGGUCUUUGUGCUGGUCUUUGGGUGGUCUUUGUGCUGGUCUUUGGGUGGUCUUUGGGCUGGUCUUUGGGCUGGUCUUUGUGCUGGUCUUUGGGUGGUCUUUGGGUGGUCUUUGGGCUGGUCUUUGGGUGGUCUUUGGACGGUCUUCCUGAAUAACUGAUAGUAAGGUGCUCCUGCAGCGUAGCUCAGACUCUUUCCUCACAAGCUCUGUGGGUUCUUGUUAACAUGUAAUAAGUUUUUUGUUGUUGUUUUUCGUUUGUUUGUUUUGGUUUUGGUUUUUUAAUUCCAAGUAAGCUAGGCAGUUAAUUCACAGUUAACAAUGAAUGGCCUGGAAAAUUUCAUUACCCAAGCCUUACAUUAUCAACACAUCUGCUUAUGAAAAAAAUACUUAAAAGAGUGGCCUAAAUAUGCAAAUUAUUAUUUCCAGGAAGAAGGAAACCACUGACAGGCAACCUGGGAGGGAGUGAGUGGGUGUACUGAGGCCAUGAAAGGCACCGACAUUCACACAUAAUAAGGUCAUAAAAGGGAAUUCACAUCUAUCGAGUACGUACAUGGGCCAGGUAUAAUUUGGUUCUUAAGACGCACCAGCUUUGGAGUCCGUCAGAACUGGAUUUGAAUCCCAGUUCCAUCAUUCAUCCUUAUGUGAUUGUGGAUGUGUUUUUAACCCCUCUGAUCUUCAGUUUUCUCAUCUAUAAAAGAUGCCUUUUUCAAGUUGUUAUGAGGCUUAAAUAAGGUAAUUGUGUACAAAUCUGGGCAAAAUGCCUGUAAUUUUGUGUCUAAUACAUGGAAGAGUAUCAUCCUUCUCUCCUUUAAUUUUUAGAGCAAACAAAGUCUGUGGUAAUCAUUUUUUAUGGUUAAAUUAAGGAUCAGAAAGAUUAAAUCACUGUAGCCACAUAGCAACUCACAGUACACAUUCACAUGAUAAUUGCUAGUUGCAAGUAGCAAUGAUAAUCACAUAAUCUCACAUUAUGUAGUGGUUUUACUUUACAUAAGCCUCCUUAUUUGUUGGAACCAUAGAUUCUAAGUUGCUCUAUCAAAGUGAUCAUUAGGAAUAUGUGAUGUUCAGCUGGGCAUGGUGGCUCACACCUAUAAUCCCAGCACUUUCGGAGGCUGAGGUGGGCAGAUCACUUGAAGUCGGGAGUUCGAGACCAGUCUGACUAACAUGGAGAAACCCCAUCUCUACUAAAAAUACAAAAUUAGCCUGGCAUGGUGGUGCAUGCCUGUAAUCCCAGCUACUCGGGAGACUGAGGCAGGA
rnacentral:lncRNA from 1 species